GACGAACGCUGGCGGCGUGCUUAACACAUGCAAGUCGAGCGGAGCGGCGAACGGGUGAGUAACGCGUGAGUAACCUGCCUUAGACAUUGGGAUAGCCUCGGGAAACCGGGAUUAAUACCAAAUGGUCUAAGAUGGACUCGCGUCCCAUUAGCUAGUUGGUGAGGUAACGGCCCACCAAGGCGACGAUGGGUAGCCGGCCUGAGAGGGUGAACGGCCACAUUGGAACUGAGAAACGGUCCAAACUCUACGGGAGGCAGCAGUGGGGAAUAUUGCACAAUGGAGGGAACUCUGAUGCAGCGACGCCGCGUGAACGAAGAAGGCUUUCGAGUCGUAAAGUUCUUUUAUAUGGGAAGCGGUACCAUAAGAAAAAGCCCCGGCUAACUACGUGCCAGCAGCCGCGGUAAUUC
rnacentral:rRNA from 1 species